rnacentral:rRNA from 1 species
UACGUAGGGCGCAAGCGUUGUCCGGAAUUAUUGGGCGUAAAGAGCUCGUAGGCGGCUUGUCACGUCGGGUGUGAAAGCCCGGGGCUUAACCCCGGGUCUGCAUUCGAUACGGGCAGGCUAGAGUGUGGUAGGGGAGAUCGGAAUUCCUGGUGUAGCGGUGAAAUGCGCAGAUAUCAGGAGGAACACCGGUGGCGAAGGCGGAUCUCUGGGCUGGAACUGACGCUGAGGAGCGAAAGCGUGGGGAGCAAACAGG